AACCACGGAUCCAUGUGUGAGGAACGAAUCGGGGUGAAAAGGGUUAUGAAAUUACCUAAUGCUGUUCUGAGUAGACAGCAACUUCUCAACAACGUGUAGUCUGAUCUACAGUCGAACUAAGCCGCAAUCUAUCGAGACUCCGACCUCUACGUGAUCCACCCAGUUGACUACGAACGGAAGAAAUCCCCAAAACAGUUUUGAGAGUGAAUUUUCUUUGACGGCUGCUAGAC
rnacentral:lncRNA from 1 species